rnacentral:rRNA from 1 species
GGGUUGUGAGGUUAAGUGACUAAGCGUACACGGUGGAUGCCCUGGCAGUCAGAGGCGAUGAAGGACGUGCUAAUCUGCGAUAAGCGUCGGUAAGGUGAUAUGAACCGUUAUAACCGGCGAUUUCCGAAUGGGGAAACCCAGUGUGAUUCGUCACACUAUCAUUAACUGAAUCCAUAGGUUAAUGAGGCGAACCGGGGGAACUGAAACAUCUAAGUACCCCGAGGAAAAGAAAUCAACCGAGAUUCCCCCAGUAGCGGCGAGCGAACGGGGAGGAGCCCAGAGCCUGAAUCAGUGUGUGUGUUAGUGGAAGCGUCUGGAAAGGCGCGCGAUACAGGGUGACAGCCCCGUACACAAAAAUGCACAUGCUGUGAGCUCGAUGAGUAGGGCGGGACACGUGGUAUCCUGUCUGAAUAUGGGGGGACCAUCCUCCAAGGCUAAAUACUCCUGACUGACCGAUAGUGAACCAGUACCGUGAGGGAAAGGCGAAAAGAACCCCGGCGAGGGGAGUGAAAAAGAACCUGAAACCGUGUACGUACAAGCAGUGGGAGCACAGAGCAAUCUGUGUGACUGCGUACCUUUUGUAUAAUGGGUCAGCGACUUAUAUUCUGUAGCAAGGUUAACCGAAUAGGGGAGCCGAAGGGAAACCGAGUCUUAACUGGGCGUUAAGUUGCAGGGUAUAGACCCGAAACCCGGUGAUCUAGCCAUGGGCAGGUUGAAGGUUGGGUAACACUAACUGGAGGACCGAACCGACUAAUGUUGAAAAAUUAGCGGAUGACUUGUGGCUGGGGGUGAAAGGCCAAUCAAACCGGGAGAUAGCUGGUUCUCCCCGAAAGCUAUUUAGGUAGCGCCUCGUGAAUUCAUCUCCGGGGGUAGAGCACUGUUUCGGCAAGGGGGUCAUCCCGACUUACCAACCCGAUGCAAACUGCGAAUACCGGAGAAUGUUAUCACGGGAGACACACGGCGGGUGCUAACGUCCGUCGUGAAGAGGGAAACAACCCAGACCGCCAGCUAAGGUCCCAAAGUCAUGGUUAAGUGGGAAACGAUGUGGGAAGGCCCAGACAGCCAGGAUGUUGGCUUAGAAGCAGCCAUCAUUUAAAGAAAGCGUAAUAGCUCACUGGUCGAGUCGGCCUGCGCGGAAGAUGUAACGGGGCUAAACCAUGCACCGAAGCUGCGGCAGCGACACUAUGUGUUGUUGGGUAGGGGAGCGUUCUGUAAGCCUGUGAAGGUGUGCUGUGAGGCAUGCUGGAGGUAUCAGAAGUGCGAAUGCUGACAUAAGUAACGAUAAAGCGGGUGAAAAGCCCGCUCGCCGGAAGACCAAGGGUUCCUGUCCAACGUUAAUCGGGGCAGGGUGAGUCGACCCCUAAGGCGAGGCCGAAAGGCGUAGUCGAUGGGAAACAGGUUAAUAUUCCUGUACUUGGUGUUACUGCGAAGGGGGGACGGAGAAGGCUAUGUUGGCCGGGCGACGGUUGUCCCGGUUUAAGCGUGUAGGCUGGUUUUCCAGGCAAAUCCGGAAAAUCAAGGCUGAGGCGUGAUGACGAGGCACUACGGUGCUGAAGCAACAAAUGCCCUGCUUCCAGGAAAAGCCUCUAAGCAUCAGGUAACAUCAAAUCGUACCCCAAACCGACACAGGUGGUCAGGUAGAGAAUACCAAGGCGCUUGAGAGAACUCGGGUGAAGGAACUAGGCAAAAUGGUGCCGUAACUUCGGGAGAAGGCACGCUGAUAUGUAGGUGAAGCGACUUGCUCGUGGAGCUGAAAUCAGUCGAAGAUACCAGCUGGCUGCAACUGUUUAUUAAAAACACAGCACUGUGCAAACACGAAAGUGGACGUAUACGGUGUGACGCCUGCCCGGUGCCGGAAGGUUAAUUGAUGGGGUCAGCGCAAGCGAAGCUCUUGAUCGAAGCCCCGGUAAACGGCGGCCGUAACUAUAACGGUCCUAAGGUAGCGAAAUUCCUUGUCGGGUAAGUUCCGACCUGCACGAAUGGCGUAAUGAUGGCCAGGCUGUCUCCACCCGAGACUCAGUGAAAUUGAACUCGCUGUGAAGAUGCAGUGUACCCGCGGCAAGACGGAAAGACCCCGUGAACCUUUACUAUAGCUUGACACUGAACAUUGAGCCUUGAUGUGUAGGAUAGGUGGGAGGCUUUGAAGUGUGGACGCCAGUCUGCAUGGAGCCGACCUUGAAAUACCACCCUUUAAUGUUUGAUGUUCUAACGUUGACCCGUAAUCCGGGUUGCGGACAGUGUCUGGUGGGUAGUUUGACUGGGGCGGUCUCCUCCUAAAGAGUAACGGAGGAGCACGAAGGUUGGCUAAUCCUGGUCGGACAUCAGGAGGUUAGUGCAAUGGCAUAAGCCAGCUUGACUGCGAGCGUGACGGCGCGAGCAGGUGCGAAAGCAGGUCAUAGUGAUCCGGUGGUUCUGAAUGGAAGGGCCAUCGCUCAACGGAUAAAAGGUACUCCGGGGAUAACAGGCUGAUACCGCCCAAGAGUUCAUAUCGACGGCGGUGUUUGGCACCUCGAUGUCGGCUCAUCACAUCCUGGGGCUGAAGUAGGUCCCAAGGGUAUGGCUGUUCGCCAUUUAAAGUGGUACGCGAGCUGGGUUUAGAACGUCGUGAGACAGUUCGGUCCCUAUCUGCCGUGGGCGCUGGAGAACUGAGGGGGGC